rnacentral:rRNA from 1 species
GACGAACGCUGGCGGCGUGCUUAACACAUGCAAGUCGAACGGAAAUGCCCUUCUUUUGUGGGGUGCUCGAGUGGCGAACGGGUGAGUAACACGUGAGUAACCUGCCCUUGACUUUUGGAUAACUUCAGGAAACUGGGGCUAAUACCGGUUUGUAGCUCCUGCUGCAUUGUUGGUGUUGGAAAGUUUCGGCGGUUGGGGAUGGACUCGCGGCUUAUCAGCUUGUUGGUGGGGUAGUGGCUUACCAAGGCUUUGAAGGGUAGCCGGCCUGAGAGGGUGACCGGCCAAAUGGGGACUGAGAUACGGCCCAGACUCCUAAGGGAGGCAGCAGUGGGGAAUAUUGCACAAUGGGCGGAAGCCUGAUGCAGCAACGCCGCGUGCGGGAUGACGGACUUCGGGUUGUAAACCGCUUUCGCCUGUGACGAAGCGUGAGUGACGGUAAUGGGUAAAGAAGCACCGGCUAACUACGUG